ensembl:lncRNA
GUAACAUUUUACCUUAGGCCUAACUCUAAACUAAACCUAAAGUCUGGAUGGAUGAUAGGAAUAAUCUUUAACAAUGAUGUUAAUCCAGGAUCAAAACUGAGAUUUCUGGGUCACCAGCUCUGGAGGAUAUUGGGAUUUUCAUUUGGCCUUGGACACUGAUGAGGCAGCUAGUGAGGCAAACAUGUUGGAGUGGUUCAGGUCUUCAAACAUGCUGAAGUCAGUUUGAUCAUACUUUGAUCAUAGCGUAAUUAGCCCACCCUCGCUGUCUCUGUUAACUCCGCCUUCCUGUCAGUGGACUAGACUCAGUGGCUCGGAUAUGAAAGAUGGCUCCUCGCUGACUAUGAAAAACUCUCUCUCUGACAGCAUUUGCUGAAGAAUAUAGGAGCUGAUGACAGAUAGAGUCACAUCAUUUCUCUGAGUAAUGCUUCCUGCCGCAGCUGAUUCAGACUGAGCAGCGUGUCAAAUCACAGACUUUUCUAACAGACUGGCGUAUUGUGCCUGUCAUCGCUUUGGAAUUCUGAGUGUAAGCAACCUGGGAAUCUCUGAGCUGAUGUUUCAUUUUGAUUCACUUUCUUACGGGCAAAAGUCUUGGACUGUGGAAUAUGUUGUUUAACACUUGAUGUGCACUUCCUGGUGUUCCAGCAUGUUACAUCAUUCAUUCUUAGAUCAUAGUGAAACCAUAGUAUGUUUUUUUUUUUUUAUAUUGCACUUCACAGUACUUCACUUGUAAUGCAUUUUGAAACUCAGUUCGCCCUUUUUACAGGAAAUGUGUCAUCUUGUGUUCAAAUUAGAAAGUUACUGCAGAGAUUUCAUCAUAUUUUCCCACCUCAGGCCCAAAGUAUCAGGGUAGUAGCCAGCACAGAAAAAGAGAGAUCACAGUUU